CUCAGUAUCCCCCUCAAGGCCAAUGAGUCCUUCUCAUACUGUCUUCAAGGUCUGUCUACCCUCAGCCUGGUUCAGCCUCCAAAUCCUAUCCCUCCACAUCCUAGUUGCUUCACCGUCCCCCAGCCGAAUCCUUGGAGCUCUUACCUACAACAUGAGCUACAGGCUUGUCACUUGGAGUUCGAGAAGAUGAUUCUGAGGAGGAAAGAGGAAAGAAAAAGAGCAAAGGCCCCAAAGAAGACACUACUAGGGCUGAGGAGUAGGUGGGACACGCCAUCUGUGUGAGUGGAGAGCUGAUCUCCCUGGGUGAGCAGGAACACAGCUCCCUGGUACACAGAGCGCACCCAAGGUCCAGAGCGUGGCCCUGGGCACACGGACUUCUGAGCGCUGAGGAGAGGCACAUGGAAAGGGUACUGGGAGGAGAAGAGUUGGACCUCAUGGGCCAGAGAGAGAUCACAAGCAGGCAGAGAGAGAAGAGGAAGCAGGCUCCCCGCCGAGCAGAGAGCCCGAUGCGGGGCUCGAUCCCAGGACCCUGGGACCAUGACCUGAGCCGAAGGCAGAGGCUUUAACCCACUGAGCCACCCAGGCGCCCCUUAAAGAGUGGAAACGAUGCACUUCAAAACCAGAGAAAAAUUUGCUGGAUGGAGGAGCAAAUUUGGACAUCAAAGGUUUCUGUUGCUUAUCUCUCAACCCCCAGCUUAGGGAUCCUAACCCCAACUCCCCCAAUUCCCCCCAACUCCCAACCUGGGCUCUUUGCAUGCCACUUCCGAAAUCUCCGGCCUGUGAGAGGAACCGGACGCCUGGGUUGCUCACAGCUCGCAGGCUCUUCUCUGAAUCACAGCAGCUUCCUCUCACAGGAUCUUUCUCACCAGCCCUUCCUCCUCCUGACCCUGAACAGAUGCCUGGUCCCUGGGAGGCCUUCCAUCUCCUGGCUGUCUUCUCCCAAGGUCUUGGGCCCUGCUUCCACGGGCUUCCCUCCCCAUGCUCUACCGCCCUCUGGGUGCUCUUGAGUACACCAGCGUUUCAUACCUAAAAAAUUAGUUUCUGGUUCUUAAGAUUCUCUGUAGACUGCACACGCCAGCGUAUGCCUGUAACUCUUCUUUUCGUGGAUUUCCCUGUUGUGUCCUGGAGGAUGGCAGUGGCAUUUGGUACUGUCUGCAACUUCCUCUCCCCGUUGUGGGGAGCCUGAGUGGAGAUCGAGUAUGGAACAAUGAAAGGGAUGGCACCAGCCCCCCUCCCACUGCCCCUCAGGACCUUUUCCUCAACUUCAGCAAAAGGGGUGUAUCUGGAAGGCCAAGUCUAGACUGCCCAGAGAUAAAGCCUAGGUGUGGGAGAGGGACAGAAGCUGGAGAGGACUGGGGCCCUGAAGGAGACCUAGGAUUGAGGAGCUAGAGGGGAGACGGCCUUGGGUGUGGAUCCCUGGUUGCCCAAGAACAGACAAUCCAGGUUACAUAAUUUGGCUCUUUCCACCUCCUUCCCCUGCUCCUAAUUUUAGCAACCGAAAUUCCACUCCCCCACAGGGCUCUUCCUCUGUCCAUUCUGCUUCUAUCCCAUCCUCCCACAACCUCCUCAUGGUCCCCAGCUCCAGCUGCCCCCAACUCAGACCAUUCAGUGACUCAGCAAAGGGAAAGCCCUGUGUUGGGGGAGGGGGUAUUCAGUGGGCAGGAGGAUGUGGUUCUGGCUGGGGAACUGGGGAGAGGAGGGAAACUGGUUUUGUUCCUUUUUUCGUCUCUGUUCAUGUCUAUUUCUCCAGUCACUGACAGUGGAGGAGCACAGCGCAGGGAGUGGUGACUGGUGGGCAAACUGGGUCUGCUCAGAGCUGCCUUUGUGGCUGGGCAAGCAGGGCCUUCUUGGCUCCAGCUGAGAGCCCAUCUUGG